CCACUUCUCCCAGUGCCUCUGGCGAUUUCCAAGUGGGAUCUGCGACUUCAGGGUUCUGGCCAAGCCCGCAGGCUGGCGUGAUUAGUUGCCGUUGAAGGGGGCUCCGCCAAUGAAAUCUUCUCUGCGCUCUGAUUUGGCGGUUCUUCGGUGCAAAUAUGACAGCUUUCUCUCUCAGCUCUUUUCUGCAUCUCUCCAUGUCCGACCCCGGAGCUCAGUUCUCGGUCUGCAAUUUCUACACCACAACCUUUGCAAUCACCACCACCACCACCACCACCACCCCUAGGUCCCAUGUCAGCAGGUGCCAGGUUGCUACAAAGGUGACAGGGCACAUUGGGAAGAAGGCUUGUUGAUUGCAGAAGAUACUUAUGCCCCGUAUUUCCAGUGCUAUGAAGUGCAAUGAGCUGGCCUGAGACUGUCAGAUGGAUUCUCCAGGGAAAGUGUUUUCCAGGAGCUUGCCAUGAACUGGAUUGAAGUUAUUGGGAGAUAAACAGAAGAAAGGGCUUUCAGAGAAUGUCCAUGAAGUGUUGGUCAAUAGUUUACCUUACCCUCACCAGGGCUCCGAAGAGGGUGUGUGCACAGACUGGCAUUGAGUCCAUGGUUGAAGACUACAGAGGCUGGAGACUCGUGUCAUCAGACAAUUGCUGCAACAGGAAUGGAGGUUCGCUGAGAAACACAUGUGAAGGUUUCAGUCUUUGGAGUUUUCCCAGCUUACGGAAUGAUUGAGGCACUUCAUAGUAACAACUUGGACUAUGUUCAAUGAGAAAAAAGAGUGGGCAUCUUUCAACACUAUUACAUAUGUUUAAUUUGAAAUUAUAGAAGGGAAUAUAGCAAGGAGAGUCAACAAGGGUUUGAUUUUUUUAAUUCAGUAUAUUGAAGUAUAUCAAUAGUUAUUAAGAGUAAUUAAACACCUACAUGUUCAUGAAUAUAUAUAUAAAGUUAAUAUUGAAUUUUGAAUUUGUUGGGUAUUCAUUCAACUAGGUAUGUAACCAGUUGGUACUCCUGCCCCUAAAGAUUUACAUUCCAUAGUAAGAGUAAAAAUGAUCUUUUGUUGCAAUAGGUAUUCACCCUCAUUUUACCCAAUAGCAAAUUUCAGGGAUGUUUGUUAAUCGCAAUGCUAGAGCAAACAAAAAUUUAAGGUAUAAUCUCCUUUGUAAACAUAGUAAGCUAUUUCAGGGGUUCUUGAGAAACCAAUUUUGCAACAGAUGUUAGCUUAUGAUGUUCUAAUUUUAAAUGGUGUUUGUUUAAUUCUUGGGGGAAAAUGCAUCAAUUAUCAUCCAUGGGGAGGGAGUAUAUCUCUUCUAGAACAAACUUUUGAAAAAACUGCUUUUCAUGUAAAGUCUUAAAGUGUUUUAAUUCUGCUUCUCACUGUUAGUGGUUUAAGUUGUGAGGUAGCAGUAAUAGAAGGGGGAAGGGAGUCUAAGGCAGAUAAGUCUGAAGCCUACUUUUGUUAUGGCUUAGACUUCAAAAAAAAAAAAAAGAAGAAAUAACUUCUCCAAGUCGCAUUUAUUUAUUUAUUUAUUUAUUUAUUUAUUUAUUUAUUUAAGUGGAGUCAACAAUUGCUAGCUACCUAAUUACUAGUCCUCUGAAUGAUUUAAUCAAAGUAGUGAAUAUAAACUUCAUAACAAGUGUAUGUAACACUUUGUGUUCACUGAGUUCUAGCUUCCAUGUCUAUCCAACAUCUGUGAGACUUUAUCUUAAAAUGUAAAUGUGAACAUUACCCAUAUUUCAAUCCUGUGAGGUUUAAUGAUGCACGCUAGCUCUGGUUUCUUUUUUAUGUCAGCAUAACAAAAUAUGCAACAAAAAUAGAUUCUCCUUCCUUAUGUGCAUGUAGGUUUCUAUUUGCUAUUGCCAAUUGGAAAGAAGAAAGGGUGUGUCUAUUUGGAAGAUAAGAGCUGUCGGGAAAUUGCAUAAUUAUCUGGCCAUUCUGAAACAUCUCAGUGGGUAUUUGUCAGUUCCUACAGACUGUCCAAGGCAUAAUGGCAUAAUGAACAUUUCUACUAAGUAAGGAAAUUUAUAACUCUAACAUAUUUGAAAAUGACAAAGAGAAUCAAAGAAAUGGAAGCAAAUGCCUUCAGUGCAUUUGGCUCUAAUCUAAACUUCCUCUUGAUGCACACAGAGAGAGAUGAUGGGUGCUGCCCAACAUCUUCUGUAAUUCAGUUUAUUUUGUGCCAUUCUUCUUGGUGUUUUCCUAUAAGGUCACCAUCAUUUUGCCAAGAUAGACCAAGUAGAGAAUGGUAAGCAGGAAAAAUGGUGAGUCCAGUGGAAAUAAUUUAGUGCAGAAAUGCUGUAUGGGAAAAUGUACACACACACACACACACACACACACACACACACACACACACACACCCUAAAUGAAAAUGAGAUGUAAUAGAAUACAAAUGCAGGUUCAAAGUCUUUGGAUUCAUAGAUUCAUGAAUAUGGUAGAUUUUGUUGUUGUUUGUUGGUUUUGAAUUUUUGCUUUUUGUAUUUUCUGAAACAGUUUAUCCUAUAGUUUUUGAAAAUGAGGGGAUCUUUCAAGGUCCAGUUGUCCAUGAUUCGAGAAACUAAGAUAUCAGACACUUGCAGUCAUCAGAGAUCAUCCAUGGACAAUGAUUUUGAGCUUCUUGUCUCACACUAGUGUUCAUGGAGUUAUGAAAAUAGAAGCAGGCUUUAUUAAGAAUUAUUUAAGAGGGGGGCUGGAGAGAGGGCUCAUCAGUUAAAAGCACUGACUGCUCUUCCAGAAGUCCUGAGUUCAAUUCCCAUCAACCACAUGGUGGUUCACAACCAUUUGUAAUGGGAUCCAAUGCCCUCUUUUGGUGUGUCUGAAGACAGCUACAGUGUACUCACAUACAUAAAAUAAAUAAAUAAAUCUUAAAAAAUAAUUAUUAAAGAAAGUGAGAUACUGAGAAGGGAGAGAAGCUCCCAAGAGUGAAUCUUAAAGGGGUUUUCAGAUUGUUUUUUGUUAACAUACCUGCCUCUGCUUCUGAUAACUAUUAUUAUCCUAUAAGAGGGCCAAUGGAUGUUAGUAUUUUAAGCAUGUAAGUGCUUAAAUUUAUUUUCAUUUUGUUGAACUAUCUUUCUGUGUAUUUUCAUGGAAGUUAAAAAAUACAAAGAAAUUUUGACGGUAUGAAUCAUAAAUAUUUUGGUUAAAUAUCCUU
rnacentral:lncRNA from 1 species